AUGGCAGCCGUUCUCACCCGCCCGACGCCGGGCACCGUCCAGUGCUUCGGCCGGAAGAAGACCGCCGUCGCCGUGGCCUACUGCAAACCCGGGCGCGGCCUCAUCAAGGUCAACGGCGCCCCCAUCGAGCUCAUCCGCCCCGAGAUGCUCCGCCUGAAGGCCUUCGAGCCGAUCCUUCUCGCCGGCAGGUCCCGCUUCAAGGACAUCGACAUGCGUAUCCGCGUCCGCGGCGGAGGGAAGACGAGCCAGAUCUACUCCAUCCGCCAGGCCAUCGCGAAGUCUCUCGUCGCCUACUACCAGAAGUACGUCGACGAGGCGGCCAAGAAGGAGGUGAAGGAGAUCUUCGGCCGCUACGACCGGACGCUCCUCGUCGCCGACCCGCGCCGCUGCGAGCCCAAGAAGUUUGGCGGUCGCGGUGCCCGCGCGCGUUUCCAGAAGUCGUACCGUUGA
rnacentral:rRNA from 1 species